UACGAACUGUGCGAACGUUAUUCGGAAUUACUGGGCGUAAAGGGCGCGUAGGCGGCCUUCUAAGUCGAACGUGAAAUCCCCGGGCUCAACCCGGGAACUGCGUCCGAUACUGGAAGGCUUGAAUCCGGGAGAGGGAUGCGGAAUUCCAGGUGUAGCGGUGAAAUGCGUAGAUAUCUGGAGGAACACCGGUGGCGAAGGCGGCAUCCUGGACCGGCAUUGACGCUGAGGCGCGAAAGCCAGGGGAGCAAACGGG
rnacentral:rRNA from 1 species